rnacentral:rRNA from 1 species
UUGUCUUUUAAUUGAAGACUAGAACAAAAGAUUGAACAAUUUAAUUAAUAUAUAAAAAUUUAAAUUUAUUCUUCAUGUAAAAAAACACUUAUAUUUUAGGAAGACGACAAGACCCUAUUAAACUUAACUUAAGUUCAACUGGGGCAGUUGAUUAAUUAUUACUUUAAUUAAUUUUUUAAUUUAAAUGAUCCAAUAUAACUGAUUAUAUAAUCAAGUUACUAUAGGGAUAACAGCGUAAUAUUAAUCUAAAGAUCUUAUUUAAAUAAAAGAUUGCGACCUCGAUGUUGAAUUAAUAACCUAAUUAUUGCAAUAAAUAAAUAAAGGAAGUCCGUUCGACUUUUAAAAAAUUACA